GAUCCUUGUAAUUUACAAUUUUAUUAACAUUUCCACGAUUAUAUAAUUAAGAUGAACUGCAUCUUGCUCAUUUUUUUCCUUUGUAACAGGAAUCCAAAAUCUAGUGAUUGAAGCAGGUUUUACUUUUCUUGUGCAUGAGCGGUGGGUUGUCCAGAGGGUUGUGGUAGCUCCCCUAUGCUCCUGGCAUCCACAUUCCUUUCUUUCCAUUCAGUCCCAUAGCAUGUGCUUCUGACUGCCUUGUCACUACUGGCUGGGUAGCUUCAAGCAUGAUGGUCUCAUUCCAGACAAGAUGAAGUAGAGAGAACAAGACGUGGGCAGAGUGGAGAGAGGCACACUGGUCUUUAUCCAUUGUCAAAACCAAGGAGACAAACACACUGAGUAUGCAUCAUGCGUUUGAAAAGCGCAUAUGCAUGGACUUGGACAGCUACUACCAAGCUCUCCAACUGCUCUAGCCAAGGCUCAGUGAUUAGCAGCUGAAAAGCAAGAAUGAAAUCCAGUGAGUAGCAGCAUACAAAGAAUCAGCUUCAAAGACUAAACACCUAACCAAGAUAUGUCUGGUAUGUCCAGGCCAGAGCUGUUGGGAAGGUACAGGACCUAGAUAGGCUCAUCUACAUGUGAUGCCUCUGGAAAACUUCAAUUCCUACCCUAGUGCUCAAAAUAGGUACCAGACCAAAGAAAUCUACUUCACAGAGAUGGAGACAUCCCUGGGUCCAUCAGCAUGAUCGGACAGGUCUUAUCUAGCUAUUGCUGCCACCUAGUGGCCGUCUUCCUUUAAUGGAGGCCGAAAUCUAAAUGCUAAGCAUGGUAGGUUCCUUGAGGCCAGGAAACCACAGAGAAGCUGGCGAUCAACUUACAUUUGAGAAGGUUCAGGAAUGUGUUCUAAAGGAACUUGACUUGAAUUUCAUGUGUGUUUGAUUCUUCCUGCCUGCCUCACGAGGACCACCAUUUGUGAACUAGGAAUGUGGUCUGCUUGUCAAAUGGGCCACUUCAAAGGGAAGAGUGUGGGAAAUUGGAACUAUGACCACAGGCCUCUUGUAUCAUGUACCACACCUAAGCUUCUGGCAUUAAAGGUCUUUGCAAUGGUUUAACGAAGGUACAUGUGAAGACUUAGCACACAAGUAACACUCAAAAGUAGCAUAUACACACUGAAGAUGAAAGAUUAUGUGGUUCUUCUGCAAGGGGCAGAGUCACUCAGGGUCCUUUUGGGCCCUGCAAAAUUAGAGGCCCAGAUUUCCAAAGACCGAAGUAUUUCUGCAAAGGUAAGUGUCUAUUUGAAUUAUAAGAUUUGCCACAAUGGCUCUGUAUAUCUAGAAGCAGGAAGAGCCAUCGGUUUAGUCAAUGGAACUGACUGUCAUAAUUCAGUGAAAGAUUGGAACUUGGUUCUUAAAAUAACAGGUUGGAAUAUGAUGGUAUGUCAAAGAUCCACUUGUGGUUCUGGCCCACUUUCUAUGGCAACUAGACAGCAGACUCGUUUUCUAAAAGGGGUACAGUAACCAGAUACCAGUCCUUUCAGAUUUUUUUGGUUUUUUGGGAGGUUUGGGUUUCACUCAGUGCAGUGUCACUGAAACUCACAUUAAGAGCUAAGGGGAGGGCUGGUGAGAUGUUUCUCAUUUUCUUAGUGGACAGCUUUAUCACUUUUCUUUUUUCUAUUUAGGGAUUAAUUUGAUCAUUUCCUAGUUUCAAGUAGCAUUGAUUACAUGUUCUCCUCCUUAGUGUAAAAGUUGUUCUCUAUCCUUUGGGGCACAUUCUUUUCUGGAAGCUUUGAAACUUUUUACAUUGUUUUACUUCAAAAUUGUUUUCUGGACAAAUCUCAUUUCUUCUUUGAUUCAUGUGUUACUUAGAAGUAUGCUGUUUAACUUCAGCAUAUUGGUGAGGCUAUUCCAGGUAUCUUUCUACAUUCCUCUCUAAGGUUUCUUACAAAUUUAUUCUCACUUCCUGUCAUCCAACAUAUGGUCUACCUUGAAUACGCCAUAUUCAUUGUCUAGAGUGAUCUAGAAAUGCCAACUACAUCAAGUUGGUUGAAUGUUGCUUAUAAUAAGUAUGUAUUUAGUGAUGAGUGUGUGUGUGUGUGUGUGUGUGUGUGUGAGGAUGGUGUUGACACAUUCAACCUUUUAGAUUUCUGGAAGAUGUUUUUAUUCUUUUUAAAUAAGUUCUGAUGUGUAUGCAUGUUUGCUCACAUGUAUACUACAUACAUGUACACUACAUGUAUGUCUGUUGCCAUGAAGGCCAAAACAGGGUGUUGGAAUCCCUGCAAUUGAGUCACAGACUAGUCUUUCGUUGUUGUUUUGUUUUUUGAGACAAGGUAUCACUGUAUAGUCCUGGCCUCCAAUUCACAGAGAUCCUCUGCCUCCCAGUGCACCGCCAUGGCCCUUUAUAAGAGCAGUCAGGAGCUCCUAACUGCUGAGCCAUCUCUCCAGGCUGACAUUACUUCUACUAAGAGUUUAUCUAUAGAGAUAACUUGACAUCUACAUGAUAAGGUCCCACAUCAAUCUACAUGACCUAUACUGUGUUUUAUGCUCCCACAGGACAACACACACCUGGUCACAAGGGGAGUUUGGGACAAAGCUCUACAAGCCUGCAAAUCAGCAUUAACCACCUGUACUGCAGAAGUUUACAUGGGUGCCAUUCUGGAAAACUCACAUUAACUCACAAAAGCAAACAAGUGAGUGCAGACAGGAAUGGGACUAUCGUCCCACUACUGUUAUUUAUUCUCUCCUCUUCUCCUUGGUUGCUGUGCAUGCCCAAAUAAUGUAAUCAUUUUUUAAAGAGAGAGAAACUAUAGGGCAUGUACAAACUCAUGGCUACUGCACCCACCAUGCUGGACGAUGAACGAAUAACUGAGACCAGGAAGGAAUUUUUUUUAAAAAGUCCUAGAGAAAAAUGAAAAUACAACAUUCCAAAAUCCAUGGAAAAAUUAUGAAGGUGGUCUUAAGUGGGCAGUUUACAGCUAUUGGUGCCUCCAGUAAGAAGUUAAAGACAGCAAAUGAAUUUACUUAAUGAUACAACUUAGGGCCUUGGAAAAACAAAAACAAAUCAAAUCCCAAUCCCUCCAUGGGAAAAAAAUAGUGCCAUCAGGGAAGAAAUCAAUGAAAUAGAAACAAUAACAAAAUACUAGGAGUCAAUGAAACAAAAAUUUGGUUAAACAGCUAGAUGUAGUUGUUAAACCCUCAGCUAGACUAAAAGAAGAAAUAGGAAUUAAUUAUUAAGAAAGAAAGAAAGAAAGAAAGAAAGAAAGAAAGAAAGAAAGAAAGGAAGGAAGGAAGGAAGGAAGGAAGGAAGGAAGGAAGGAAGGAAGGAAGAAGACCGUUGGUAGUGGCCCACUCUGGAAGCAGAGGUAGGUAGGUGAUCCUCUGUGAGUUUAAGGCCAGCCUAAUCUACAAAGUGAGUUCCAGGACAGGUACGGUACACACAGAGAAAUUCUGUCUCAACAAAGCAAAAUAAAUUAGAAGAAAGGGGGGCCAUCACAACAGACACUGAUGAAGUGUAUAACAUCAUUAGGUCUUACCUUAAAAAGUAACACCCCACUAAGUUGGAAAAGCUGAAAGAAAUGGGUGAAUUUAUAGAUGCAUAUGGCCUACAAAAAUAACAUGAAGAUGAGCAAUUAUGAUUACAUUAGUAAUUCAAAAUCUAAAAACAAAAAAGCCCAGGUUAUCAGACUUUCCAGUGUUCCUCCAGUGUUCCUAGGCUAGAAAAGGAAGAGACAUUACCAAACUCCCUUACGAUGCUCCUAUUCGCCUGAUACCGAACCAAGAUGAAACAAAACUCUACAUCAAUUUCCCUGAUGAACAUAGACACAAAUAUUAUCAACAAGCUACUUGCAAACAGAAUUCAAAAAUACAUUUAAAAAGAUCAUUCACAACCAUGAAGCUAGUUUUAGUCCAGAGAUAGAGACUGUUUAAUAUACAUAUCAAUAAAUGUUAUUUAUGCCUUUCACGUUAAAGUCUCAAGUGCACUCAGAAUAAAAGGAACCUCAGUAUCGAAAAAGUUACACGACAAACCUGUAUUUUGUUAAUAUAAUCCAAAGGUGUCCAUUUUCUAUACUCUUAUUCAAUCAUACUAGAAGUCUUAAACUAAAGCCACAACCUAAGCAGACAAAUAAAAGAAAACCAGGAAAGAAGUCCAAACACCUCUAUUUGUAGAUGGUAUGAUUCUAUACACAAAAGAAUAUAAAGAAACUACCAAAAAAACUCUUAAAACUGUUGAACACAGGGCUGGAGAGAUGGCUCAGGGGUUAAGAGCACUGACUGCUCUUCCAGAGGUCCUGAGUUCAAUUCCCAGCAACCACAUGGCGGCUCACAACCAUCUGUAAAUGGAACCAGAUGCCCUCUUCUGCUGUGUCUGAAGACAGCUACAGUGGACUCAUAAAUAAAAUAAAUUCUCAAAUAUAAAAAUUGUUAAAAAUACAUUAAGAUGUGACUGACACAAAAUAUUCUUUUAAGCCGGUGGUGGUGGCACACGCU
ensembl:lincRNA Gm26767 predicted gene, 26767